rnacentral:snoRNA from 1 species
AACCCAUGGUGAGGGCACCUUUGCAGUAGGUCCUUAUAUCUCCCAUGCAUCUUUAAGUGUUUCUAAAUCCAUCUGCACAAAAGAAGUAAUAUCAUUCCUUAAUUU